UUACUGCGAAGGGGGGACGGAGAAGGCUAUGUUGGCCGGGCGACGGUUGUCCCGGUUUAAGCGUGUAGGCUGGUUUUCCAGGCAAAUCCGGAAAAUCAAGGCUGAGGCGUGAUGACGAGGCACUACGGUGCUGAAGCAACAAAUGCCCUGCUUCCAGGAAAAGCCUCUAAGCAUCAGGUAACAUCAAAUCGUACCCCAAACCGACACAGGUGGUCAGGUAGAGAAUACCAAGGCGCUUGAGAGAACUCGGGUGAAGGAACUAGGCAAAAUGGUGCCGUAACUUCGGGAGAAGGCACGCUGAUAUGUAGGUGAAGUCCCUCGCGGAUGGAGCUGAAAUCAGUCGAAGAUACCAGCUGGCUGCAACUGUUUAUUAAAAACACAGCACUGUGCAAACACGAAAGUGGACGUAUACGGUGUGACGCCUGCCCGGUGC
rnacentral:rRNA from 1 species